UACGAGAGGCCCAAACGUUAUUCGGAUUUACUGGGCUUAAAGAGUUCGUAGGCCGCGCAGAUAGUGGGGUGUGAAAGCCCUCGGCUCAACCGAGGAAUUGCGCUCCAAACUUCUGCGCUUGAGGAACCUAGAGGUGAGCAGAACUGAUGGUGGAGCGGUGAAAUGCGUUGAUAUCAUCAGGAAUACCGGAGGCGAAGGCGGCUCACUGGGGGUUUUCUGACGCUGAGGAACGAAAGCCAGGGGAGCGAACGGG
rnacentral:rRNA from 2 species